rnacentral:rRNA from 1 species
AUUGAACGCUGGCGGCAGGCCUAACACAUGCAAGUCGAACGGUAACAGGAAGCAGCUUGCUGCUUCGCUGACGAGUGGCGGACGGGUGAGUAAUGUCUGGGAAACUGCCUGAUGGAGGGGGAUAACUACUGGAAACGGUAGCUAAUACCGCAUAACGUCGCAAGACCAAAGAGGGGGACCUUCGGGCCUCUUGCCAUCAGAUGUGCCCAGAUGGGAUUAGCUUGUUGGUGGGGUAACGGCUCACCAAGGCGACGAUCCCUAGCUGGUCUGAGAGGAUGACCAGCCACACUGGAACUGAGACACGGUCCAGACUCCUACGGGAGGCAGCAGUGGGGAAUAUUGCACAAUGGGCGCAAGCCUGAUGCAGCCAUGCCGCGUGUAUGAAGAAGGCCUUCGGGUUGUAAAGUACUUUCAGCGGGGAGGAAGGUGCUGUGGUUAAUAACCGCAGCAAUUGACGUUACCCGCAGAAGAAGCACCGGCUAACUCCGUGCCAGCAGCCGCGGUAAUACGGAGGGUGCAAGCGUUAAUCGGAAUUACUGGGCGUAAAGCGCACGCAGGCGGUCUGUUAAGUCAGAUGUGAAAUCCCCGGGCUCAACCUGGGAACUGCAUCUGAUACUGGCAGGCUUGAGUCUCGUAGAGGGGGGUAGAAUUCCAGGUGUAGCGGUGAAAUGCGUAGAGAUCUGGAGGAAUACCGGUGGCGAAGGCGGCCCCCUGGACGAAGACUGACGCUCAGGUGCGAAAGCGUGGGGAGCAAACAGG